rnacentral:lncRNA from 1 species
GAUCCAGUUGUUAUUUGGCACUCCAUGCUUAAUUUCACGGAGUACCAAGUCGAAAACCACCGAAAUACCACGAGUUUAGGGUAAAAUCGUAAUUGUGUAAGGGUAUUUUGGUCUUUCUCAUGCUCAACUGGAUAAAAAAAAGAAAAAGGCUUCAUGUGGCGGCCGUUGCAGCGGACGAAGGCGCUGCUCAGGCGGCUGAACGGACGAGGCCGUUGUGCCAGCGGGAGCGGACGACGCUGCCGCUCGAAGGGCCGCUGCGUC